rnacentral:rRNA from 1 species
AUUGAACGCUGGCGGCAGGCCUAACACAUGCAAGUCGAACGGUAACAGGAAGCAGCUUGCUGCUUUGCUGACGAGUGGCGGACGGGUGAGUAAUGUCUGGGAAACCGCCCGAUGGAGGGGGAUAACUACUGGAAACGGUAGCUAAUACCGCAUAACGUCGCAAGACCAAAGAGGGGGACCUUAGGGCCUCUUGCCAUCGGAUGUGCCCAGAUGGGAUUAGCUAGUAGGUGGGGUAACGGCUCACCUAGGCGACGAUCCCUAGCUGGUCUGAGAGGAUGACCAGCCACACUGGAACUGAGACACGGUCCAGACUCCUACGGGAGGCAGCAGUGGGGAAUAUUGCACAAUGGGCGCAAGCCUGAUGCAGCCAUGCCGCGUGUAUGAAGAAGGCCUUCGGGUUGUAAAGUACUUUCAGCGGGGAGGAAGGGAGUAAAGUUAAUACCUUUGCUCAUUGACGUUACCCGCAGAAGAAGCACCGGCUAACUCCGUG